CCUACGAGAGGCAGCAGUGGGGAAUAUUGGACAAUGGGGGCAACCCUGAUCCAGCCAUGCCGCGUGUGUGAAGAAGGCCCUCGGGUUGUAAAGCACUUUCAGUGAGGAAGAACGCCUGGUGGUUAAUACCCAUCAGGAAAGACAUCACUCACAGAAGAAGCACCGGCUAACUCCGUGCCAGCAGCCGCGGUAAUACGGAGGGGGCGAGCGUUAAUCGGAAUUACUGGGCGUAAAGCGCGCGUAGGUGGCUUGAUAAGCCGGUUGUGAAAGCCCCGGGCUCAACCUGGGAACGGCAUCCGGAACUGUCAAGCUAGAGUGCAGGAGAGGAAGGUAGAAUUCCCGGUGUAGCGGUGAAAUGCGUAGAGAUCGGGAGGAAUACCAGUGGCGAAGGCGGCCUUCUGGACUGACACUGACACUGAGGUGCGAAAGCGUGGGUAGCAAACAGGAUUAGAUACCCGAGUAGUC
rnacentral:rRNA from 1 species